rnacentral:misc_RNA from 1 species
AAGUCGUAACAAGGUUUCCGUAGGUGAACCUGCGGAAGGAUCAUUAACAAAUUCCAAAACUCGUGUUGGUCUUUGAAGGUGUUAACUUUCUCUUUUUCUCUUUUCUCUCUGAGAAAAAUAGGGUUUAAAAGAGAGAGAGUUAAUAAAGUCAAAGGCCAGCUCUAAAUUACAUUUACAUUUAUUGACAACAAAUGGGAGAACCAAAACAACAUUUAUAAUAGUUGAAACAACUUUUAACAAUGGAUCUCUUGGCUCUU